ACAGUUGUGAAUAUGGCUCCAUGAAGUUUUAUGCACUGUGUGGCUUUGGUGGGGUCUUAAGUUGUGGUCUGACACACACUGCUGUCGUUCCUCUGGAUUUAGUAUGCAGGUGGACCCCCAGAAAUACAAGGGCAUAUUUAAUGGAUUCUCCGUUACACUUAAAGAGGAUGGUGUUCGUGGUUUGGCUAAAGGGCGGGCUCCAACUUUCAUUGGCUACUCUAUGCAAGGACUUUGUAAGUUUGGCUUUUAUGAAGUCUUCAAAGUCUUGUAUAGCAACAUGCUUGGAGAGGAGAAUACCUAUCUCUGGCGCACAUCGCUGUAUUUGGCUUCCUCUGCCAGUGCUGAAUUCUUUGCUGACAUAGCCCUGGCUCCUAUGGAAGCUGCUAAGGUUCGAAUUCAAACUCAGCCAGGUUAUGCCAACACUUUGAGGGAUGCAGUUCCCAAAAUGUUUAAGGAAGAAGGCUUAAAUGCAUUCUACAAGGGGGUUGCUCCCUUUCUGGAUGAGGCAGAUCCCAUACACCAUGAUGAAGUUUGCCUGUUUUGAACGUACUGUUGAAGCUUUGUACAAGUUUGUGGUUCCCAAGCCCCGAAGUGAAUGUUCAAAGGGACAACAGCUUGUUGUAACCUUUGUGGCCGGUUAUAUAGCUGGAGUCUUCUGUGCAAUUGUUUCUCACCCUGCUGACUCUGUGGUGUCUGUGUUGAAUAAAGAGAAAGGUAGCAGUGCUUCUCAGGUUCUCCAGAGACUUGGAUUUAAAGGUGUCUGGAAAGGACUCUUUGCCCAUAUCAUCAUGAAUGGCACUCUGACUGCACUACAGUGGUUCAUCUAUGACUCCGUAAAGGUCUACUUUAGACUCCCUCGUAGUCCUCCACCUGAGAUGCCAGUGUCUCUGAAGAAGAAACUUAAUUUAACUCAGUAGAUUGAUAAAAGCAAAUAUAGACUGAAUCUGCUUGCUGACCAGUGUUGAAGAAAGUCAAAAUGAACUUCUAUAUAUUUGACAAUGUAGAAAAUUGUCUAUUCCUGAUAUGAUUACUGGUAGAGUACCCUUGCCCACGGCAAGAGUUUCAAAUUUACUGUUGAAAUAAACCCAACUGU